rnacentral:lncRNA from 1 species
AUGCAACUUCCCACCUCAUGUAGAUUCCCUUUAUCUUCUGAAGGCCCUUCCAAGAACUCAAAGCCCCUCUUCAUCAGGUUGUGGCCCAACGUGACAGCUGUCACACCCCUGUGGCGUCUGGCUGACUGGAUGGGGGCUCUUCAAAACCAGAGGCUUCCAGGCUCCAUCACCUUUGAUCCUGAUUCGCAGUGGGGUUUGAAGAGACGCUUGACACCGUGGUGCAGACUCUUGUUGUUGAAUCUUUGCUGCAGGUCUUGGAGCUGUGGACAUGCAUGCUGCUCUCAGCCUUGCCACCGUGGCCUGGCUGGUAGGCUCAGAGGAACAGGACUGGAAUUCAUCCCAAAGGAGCUAUAUUUUAUUUGUUAAUUUCUUUGUUCCAGAAGUAAUUUAAAGACAUUGAUAACAGUAUGCACUUACUGUAUUACGCUUUCCAGGGUUGCUGGGAAGAUAUUUGAAAAGAACUUGUUCAACUUCAAGGACAGAAUUUCUCACAGAGGAAUCUGAGAGAUUUUCGUUUGUGUGCGUGGGGUGGAGGUGGGGAGUUAGUGAUGGAGGCAGAGUAUUGAGGAGGGAACAUUGCUGCCCACAGGUGCUCAAAUCCAUCCCAGUGGUGCCAGCCCAGGUUAGGGGAGAGAGCAGAGCCCCCGCUCAGCUGCACAAUGUACGCCAUGGCUUUUGAAAGGUGCUUGACAUCAUUAAAAAAAUAAAGGUAUAUUAGAUGAGUUUAUUCA